UCACUGAUCAGGACAGAACACAGACAAGUCACUAUGGAGUUUGUGCUUGGCUGGGUUUUCCUUGUUGCUCUUUUAAAAGGUGUCCAGUGUGAUGUGCAGCUGGUGGAGUCUGGGGGAGACCUGGUGAAGCCUGGGGGGUCCCUGAGACUCUCCUGUGCAGCCUCUGGAUUCACCUUCAGUGCCUAUGGCAUGGGCUGGGUCCGCCAGCCUCCAGGGAAGGGGCUGCAGUGGGUCUCAAGUAAUGAUAAUGGUGGAAGUAGCACAAGGUAUGCAGACUCUGUGAAGGGCCGAUUCACCAUCUCCAGAGACAAUGGCAAGAACACGCUUUAUCUGCAGAUGAACAGUCUGAGAGCCGAGGACACGGCCGUGUAUUACUGUGUAAGAGGCACUGUGAGGGGACAUCAGUGUGAGCCCAGACACAAAUAUCACUGUGGUAGGGGAUCUGGAUCACCAAGGGGUGCAUACUACUCACCAAUUCUGUCUCUAAGCCCCAUGAGCAGGUGCAGAUGGAGAUUAUGUGCAGGUUUCCUGUCAGGUUCUGGGGCUUCCUCUCUAAGUAUAGCUGUUUCCCCCAGGGCCUCCUUGCACAAAUGA